UACAGAGGGUGCGAGCGUUGUCCGGAAUCACUGGGCGUAAAGGGCUCGUAGGCGGCCAACUAAGUCAGACGUGAAAUCCCUCGGCUUAACCGGGGAACUGCGUCUGAUACUGGAUGGCUUGAGAUUGGGAGAGGGAUGCGGAAUUCCAGGUGUAGCGGUGAAAUGCGUAGAUAUCGGGAGGAACACCAAUUGCGAAGGCAGCUCGCUGGGACGUUACUGACGCUGAGACGCGAAAGCGUGGGGAGCAAGCAGG
rnacentral:rRNA from 1 species